GUGGGGAAUUUUGGACAAUGGGCGAAAGCCUGAUCCAGCCAUGCCGCGUGCAGGAUGAAGGCCUUCGGGUUGUAAACUGCUUUUGUACGGAACGAAAAGACUCUGGUUAAUACCUGGGGUCCAUUACGGUACCGUAAGAAUAAGCACCGGCUAACUACGUGCCAGCAGCCGCGGUAAUACGUAGGGUGCAAGCGUUAAUCGGAAUUACUGGGCGUAAAGCGUGCGCAGGCGGUUAUAUAAGACAGAUGUGAAAUCCCCGGGCUCAACCUGGGAACUGCAUUUGUGACUGUAUAGCUAGAGUACGGCAGAGGGGGAUGGAAUUCCGCGUGUAGCAGUGAAAUGCGUAGAUAUGCGGAGGAACACCGAUGGCGAAGGCAAUCCCCUGGGCCUGUACUGACGCUCAUGCACGAAAGCGUGGGGAGCAAACAGGAUUAGAUACCCGGGUAGUCC
rnacentral:rRNA from 1 species